GCGAUUAGCAUUUAGUACUUGUGUUAAAUCGUUCUAGUUUGAAUACUGCGAACUUAGUGAAAUACAAACAUUUUGCUUAUUAAUAUUGAGAAGUAAUGUCAAGUCAACAUCAAGGGCAGCAUCUUCCUUUCCGGCAACUCGAACUUGGACGGACACCUUAUAGCUGCCAUGCUUCACUCACUCAUUCCGGUUCGCCAUCUAUCCGAUCCGAUCCGGUCCGGUCCACCUUCCCACUUGCCAGAUGGAAUGAACGCCAUCCAUCUAGAUAUCGGUGGCUGGGCGGCGUAGUUGCAACCCAAUGAAACAAAACAAUUUCGAAUAGAACAGGCUUUGGGCGUUGCGUUGCAUGAAUGCAUUCAAUAGAUGAACAAGAUUCGUGACAAUUCGCUAGGCGGGCCUGUGUAUCUGUAUCUAUGCGGCUAUAUAGUUGUUCCGCUGUGGAUGCGGCUGGCUAAUCGAAUAAAUUAGCUCGCAUAACCAGACCGGUUGACUAACUGACUAACUGACUAACUGACUAACUGUCUAACUGACUGAAUGACUGGCUGACUGGUUUAUUGUUUCACCCGAGGCUUGCAUAAAUAUGACGCCUUGGCGGCUCAUCCGCGGCAUCCAUCUCAAUCCGCGCCUCCAUCUGGGGAAUGAUCCAAAUGUGGAUACGUGCCAAUUACAGGUUCGCGACUGCAAAUUGCACCCCUGUCGUGGGUCGGGGUCACCACUGAGUCAACUAGCAACCGCAAUUAGUCGUAACAGCAUCCGCGAAUCGGACCCGCUUUAAGUCUGGCUAUUUGUAGGGAUCACCAGUUCAGAUCUUUCGAUGCUGAUCACACCUGCAGCGUGGAGAAGAAGGAAACCACGGCGCUGUCCGUGGGCAGACACUGGCCAAAGGCCUCGAUUAGCAAUGGUUCCGCGGUGACCGUGCCCAUAAAGUCCUCCAGGGAUACCUGCAAACCAAAUCAUUAUAUCUAUAUGGCAUCUUACCGCCUAAUCCGCUCACCUUGCCGUCCUUGUCCAGGUCGAACUUCUUGAGCACAAUCUCCACCAGAUCCUUGACGCCCUCGUCGGGAUCUUCGUCCUGCGGCUGUUUAAUCAGGCAGUUUCGCAGCAGCGUGAACAUUUCAUCCUUGGUGAUGAAUCCAUCCGUGUUCAGAUCGUAAACGCGGAAGCAAAAAGCCGCCCGUUCCGCCGGCGUGCCGCGCAGGAAUGUUGAAAGUCCAAUCAGCCAGCCCUCGAGACGAAGGGGCAAGCCCUCGUGGGCCUUGUCCCAGCUGCAGAAGAUGCGCUCCAUCAGGAUCUCCUCGGUGACGAUGUCGAAGGUGCUGUGCAACAGCUCGCGGAACACAAUGCGAUCGAUGCCCUGCGGAGAAUGACGCUUAAACCCCAUUUCUGGACAGGAUCUGUGCAUCUGCUCAUAGUUACCUCCACGGCGGCAUGUGGCUUGGCAAUAGCUGCGCUCGACGAGCUGGAGGCCAGCGUCUUGGCCGCAUACUGACAAUUGGACACCAGCUUGCGAUAGAUGCGGCACAACGCAUCCAGCUCAUCCCUGUUCGGUCGCCAAGUGGCAAGUACAGUUCAUCAUCGUACGCUUGUAUAUAUAUCACUCACUUGGUAAACCGCGUCUUCUUUCGCAGGCUGUCCAACAGCUUGGGAUUCACUUUGCCGCUCAGCUCAUCCAUCCUCCGUUGCCGCUGUUGCCGUUUGUUCUGCAAAGCAGCCGCGGCGGCCUUCGACUGUUGGUUGCUCGAGUUGCGCUUGCCGCUGGCAAGGAACACGGAUACCGUUUUCAGUAUCGUUUUGUUGGCAUGUAGUGUGGAUCUACCGACGCCAGUGGUGCCGCCAGUUGCUGUGGGUGCCGCUGUUGCACCACCACCGCCACCACCAGCCGUUGCCCCGCCAUCCCGAUUGGGUGUCGGUGUUGGCGAACGACCCUUGCCAGCGCCCGCCUUUC